UGUCUGUCCCUUUCCUUCCAGUGAUCUGAUAUCAGAGCUUUUCUCAGUGCACUGUUUAUUUCAUCUAAUUGUGUAUUAUCAUGUCUGUGGCUAUUCAAAAACUCCUGUUGAAACCUUCUCAGCUCACUUACUGGAAAGUGCUGGUUCUGAAGAGGUCCAGCAGCAUCCACAGCAAACCACCAAAAGGAAAAGUUGGUCCACUUGAAACCAUCAUUGGAUUUUCAGUUUUCGCAAUGGGCCUUCUAACACCAGCUGGAUGGAUUCUAAAGCACCUUCCAGAACAAAGAAAACAUUAGCAGGAAAAAAGUAAUCAUUGAGACAUCUUGUUGUUAUUGUACUAAUGCACUGCUGAACUGCAAUAUAAGCUGCCAUCCUGAAGAUGUGUGCCUGUACAUUUGUAAAUGACACCUCACUAAGAUACUACUGGUCCAUUAACUCGCAGAUUUAUCAUGUAAAAUGCUUUUUGAUUUGACAAAAUAUUGUUGUUUUUUGUGACAUGUAAUAAAGAAACUGAAAAUA